UGUGUGUGUGUGUGUGUGUGUGUGUGUGUGUGUGUGUGUGUGUGUGUGUGUGUGUGUGUGUGUGUGUGUGUGUGACGUGGUUUCCUUCUCCGCAGGACUCGUCUCGUGUUCCUGGCGAUGGUGGCAGCCAUGGUUGUGGACGUCAUGGCAAAACCAGCUUGUGAAAAUAAUAUGUCUACAGCUCAACUUAGAGAUCUCCCUCUCGUAAAAAAACCUCUAUCAGAACUUCUUGCUAAAGUGUCAGACGAUCAGCUUGCAACUCGAGUUUACGAAUGCUUUACUCAAGAUGGUAUGGACUGUGGUCCUUGCCGGCAAGGAGAACUAGGACAAGUCGUCGCACUGCUGCCUGUCAUGCUGGUAGACUGCCAGUCUAGUAUCUCAAAUGUGUGCCCAUCUGAUCUGAAAGAAAAGUCUGCCAAAGUCGUCAAUGCGAUGUCAUCCACUUACAGAGGUACUAGAUACAAUGAGAUCCUAUUGAGGCUGUAGGAACACUAAGAAGCAACACAAGACUCAUCUACUGAUUCCCCGCUGACAAUUGUUGGGAUGAUGUAUUUCAUUCAGUCACGACCACCAUCACUUUCCCAAUGGUACUACGUCUGCAAAACCAGUUAUUAUCCAUUUCCCAGGAUAUGCUAUUACAGAGGAUUGUGUUAUGGAUUUUUUCCCCUUUAACAAUGCAGUUUUCAUUCAUUUGUUUUGGUCUUGUUAUUUGCCCAGCUAAUGUUUUGUACAAUCAUUAUUAUUGGUAUUUAAUAAAUUGUUUUUAAUUUUU